AUGCUUCAAGAAUGUCGUCUCAAUAUUUCCAUAUCUAAUAUUUUCCUGAUAUCUCUUUGCAUGUGAUUGGAACUUAUUUUCCUCAUUGUUAUUGUUACAUUGUUGUCUAAGUAUUAAAUGGAUUGAGCCAUUUGGAGAAACAUGAUGUGAAAUUUUGUAAUAAGUGUAAAUAUUGUCUUCAUUUGCAUAUUUUGUAACAAUACAUGACUAUGAAAUUGUUGCAACAUGUUGUUGGUAGUUAUCAAAGGCAAAACACAAGUGGCAAGGCUCUGAAGCUCAGCUUAUCUAGACUAAUGUAAGUGCAGUUGGUGAAGCACAUCUUUGCACCUAUGCACCUCAAUAAAGAUAUGGAUAUUUGUGUGUGUAUUUGUUUUGUUGUUUCCUUAUAUAUAGUAGCUACAAUGGCUAGUGCUAAUAAAGUUCCAUUUAGUGUCCUGACUCCUAUGACCUCUGUUGAACUGCAACCCAAUCCCAAAACUGGGUUUUGAAAUGACCAGUUCUCCAAAACAUUGACUUGGUAAAAGCCUUCAUAAUAGCCAUACUAAUGGUAUUUUUUUGGUAAGUAUACUAAUUGGUGUUGUGCAAGAAAGAAAUAAUGCUUUAUAGAGUAUGUGUGUUAAGGCAGUGAGACUGAAGCUUGAGCAACAAUAGUGAGCUUGAGGGGAAAGAUAAUGGAAGUGAAUGACAUCUCUCAAAAUCAUUGGCCUAUUCAAUGGUAUUAGUGGAGUAUUCCUUGAUAUGAGCAACAAUAGACUACCGGAAAUGGCUCCUGCAAAUCUCUGCACUACACUGCAUGACAGCUGCGUAUAAUGAAAUUAAUGGUUAUAAAUUAGAAGUGGAAGAUGGAGGGGGAGAGAGGAUUCAGAUCUGUAGGAAGAUGGAGAGCUGAGGUGUCGAUUGAAGCUAAGACCUUCAAGUUUGAAGAGGAAUGGGUAAGAGGUAAGGAAGCACUAAAGAUAAGAGAGAACAACAGGGCGAUAGUACUGGUUCUAAAUGAAGUCAUCGUAUGGAUGAAAGGAUUUGUAGAUGGGGCUAUCAACUCUGGCAAGGUGAAUGGAUGGAGAAACUCAAUGUCAGUUCUAGGCAAGAAGUAUGUAAUAGAAAUGAAGAGAAAUUGGAAGGUGUGGUUCAUCACAGUGGAGGAGCUCUUUGGAACAUCUGGAAAACAGAUGCUCUGUGUACUGGAAGGGAGAAUGCAGAAAGGAUGGAAGGUCUUUGUGAAGGUGCUGCUGUCCUUUCUUGAAGCAUUGGAAACUAGAAAGAUAGAAGGAGUGGAGGCAACUGGCCAAAACUUCAAAGACCAGGGGCGGAGACAGGAGGAGUCAGCGUCAUUUGGAACUACUGAAAGUGCAGAAGUCCAAAACCUUCAGACGCCUGAAGUGAUGGUGGCUUGUUCAUCUAUACAUCGAUGUAUUCUGGUGGGAGCAGGGAAGGAUGCUUGGAAGAAAAGAAUGGUUCUAGUGGCUGAUAAAAAAGUGAAAGACUGGAAGAAGGUCCUGGAGGUUGUUGCUGGUGAGAUAGGUGUUGGAGAUGAACCAACACUGGUUCCAUUUGCAGAUACGAAGGCUGUGUUGGAUGUGGGCGAUCAGGAACUGAGCUUUAAAGCUGUAGCAGUGGAUGGGGGCCUUAUACAGGUCCAGAACUGGAGCCCCAUCUGCAAUGAAGUUGCAAUCCAAGAUGGGUGUGUUAGGUUGAAACUUGUAGGUCUCCCAUUCCACCUUUGGCGCGACUCUGUUCUCGAACACAUUGUAUAGAGUCUAGGAGGAGUCUUGGUGGAGGCUGAUAAACGGAACUUGGUCGCUGUCGAGGUACAAGUGACAUGCAUCAAACAUGAGAAUAUGCUGAGGUUUUUUGAGGUUUGUUCGGAUGAUAUGUGGUACAAAGUCUGGGUAGCUGCGGAACUUGAACAGGCGUUGUGGGGAGGAGGAUCUAAGGUUGAAGAUGAUGAGUCAGCGAGGUGGUGGACACGUGGAAGGAAGAAAGUGGGCGGUGAGAAAGGGGUGCAGGUGGACAUUAAAGGAAGGAUUAUGGGCCGGCUGGGGCAGCCCAAACGAUAGGCCUAUUGUUUAAGGAAAUUAAUUCAAAAAAUUUUGAAAGAAAUAAACUUAAAGCGGGCUCAUUAAGUUAUGCUGACAUGGCAAGGAACCCGAAUGGACCAGGGGGUAGACUGGCUCAGUUCGAGCCGGUCGAGGUGAUAGGAGGGUUGGGUGGGCCGAUGAGUAAACCAAGGCCUUUUUUAAGUGACCCACGUGACAACUUAAAUGGCCACGUGGGUCGGGGUAAGGGGAGGUUACCACGAACGAUGAUAGAUGCUGGUGUCGGUCUAUCAUUGUCCCGAAAGAGAGAGGAGGGUUGGAAAACUUACUAGCAGCAGUGCACAAAUAGGUCAGGAGAUCUAUAGUGGAUCCCUUGCUGGAACAGGGAAGAGGGGAGCUCCGGUCGGCAACUUUCAAAGAGGCCAAACCCACGAUACUCUAGGGAGAGAGCCGAAGAGAGAGAGGAGGCGGAUGAAGGUUGGAUGAUGUGCAGUGGCGAUGAAGAUGAAUCAGAUGAAGGGGUAGAGGAUGGCACCAGUAUCGGUAGUUUGGGUGAAGAAUAUGAUUACGGUACAGAUGACAGGGGAGAGUGGGACAUUGCGAAUAUAUUCCGGGACGACUCAGAGGAGGACGAGAGGUGUGUAAGAGGAGGCCAGGAAGGUCAGACAGAGGAAGCAAGAAGCUUGGGACCCCAUGAAACAAGCAAAACUGAAGAUCUGAAGCGGGAAAACCUAUACCCAAGACCUCGGAUUGUGCAAGGCACAAAUGAAAGGGCGAACCAGUAGAACCUGAAGUAGAGCUGGAACAUACCAAUCAGGGGUGAAGUAGUACAUAGAAGAGUUCACCAUGUUGACCAAAGGACAAAAGGACUCUCCACCAACCCGGGGAGACAGAUAUUGACCAACCUCGGGAACUAGAAAGGGAGGCCGGGAACAAUCCUAAUCCACUUUCCCUCUCACACCCAGUUGACAGCUAUAUCAUUGAAGGUCGUGUAUGUUAUUUGACGAUGUGUGAUCGUGCUUAUCCAAAAAAACUUGCUUUUCAAUACCUAG